rnacentral:rRNA from 1 species
GACGAACGCUGGCGGCGUGCCUAAUACAUGCAAGUAGAACGCAGUUUCGCACGGGUGAGUAACGCGUAGGUAACUGCCUCAUAGCGGGGGAUAACUAUUGGAAACGCUAGCUAAUACCGCAUACUGUGAGAUGGACCUGCGUUGUAUUAGGUAGUUGGUGAGGUAAAGGCUCACCAAGGCGACGAUACAUAGCCGACCUGAGAGGGGGGACCGCCAAACUGGGGAUGAGACACGGCCCCGACCUCUACGGGAGGCAACAGGAGGGAAACCUCGGCAAUGGGCGGAAGUCUGGACGAGGAAAGGCGGGUGAGUGAAGAAGGGUUUCGGAACGGAAAGCUCUGUUGAUAGGGAAGCGGUAACUAACCAGAAAGCGACGGCUAACUACGUGCCAGCAGCCGCGGUAAUUC